UACAGAGGGUGCGAGCGUUGUCCGGAAUCACUGGGCGUAAAGGGCGCGUAGGCGGCCCGGUAAGGUUGCGGUGAAAGCCCGGGGCUCAACCCCGGGUCGGCCGUGGCAACUGCUGGGCUGGAGCACAGUAGAGGCGGGUGGAAUUCCGGGUGUAGCGGUGGAAUGCGUAGAGAUCCGGAAGAACACCAGUGGCGAAGGCGGCUCACUGGCCCGAUACUGACGCUGAGGUGCGAAAGCGUGGGGAGCAAACAGG
rnacentral:rRNA from 1 species